CCCUUAGAUGUUCUGGGCCGCGCGCGCGCUACACUGAUGCAUGCAACGAGUUCUAUCCUUGGCCGGAAGGCCUGGGUAAUCUGUGAACGUGCAUCGUGAUAGGGAUAGAUUAUUGCAAUUAUUAAUCUUGAACGAGGAAUUCCUAGUAAACGCAAGUCAUCAGCUUGCAUUGAUUACGUCCCUGCCCUUUGUACACACCGCCCGUCGCACCUACCGAUCGAAGGUAAUGAUGAGCCCUCAGGAUUGUGGCCUCGUCGCGUCAGCGUCUUGGCUGCGAGAAUCUGUGCAAAUCCCUACCUUUAGAGGAAGGUGAAGUCGUAACA
rnacentral:rRNA from 1 species